UAGCUUGCUAAGGGGAUUAGUGGCGAACGGGUGAGUAAUAUAUCGGAACGUACCUUGUAAUGGGGGAUAACUAGUCGAAAGAUUAGCUAAUACCGCAUACGCCCUGAGGGGGAAAGUAGGGGAUCUUCGGACCUUACGUUAUAAGAGCGGCCGAUAUCUGAUUAGCUAGUUGGUGGGGUAAUGGCCUACCAAGGCGACGAUCAGUAGCUGGUCUGAGAGGACGACCAGCCACACUGGAACUGAGACACGGUCCAGACUCCUACGGGAGGCAGCAGUGGGGAAUUUUGGACAAUGGGCGCAAGCCUGAUCCAGCCAUUCCGCGUGAGUGAAGAAGGCCUUCGGGUUGUAAAGCUCUUUCGCAAGGGAAGAAAACUUACAUUCUAAUAAAGUGUGAGGCUGACGGUACCUUGAUAAGAAGCACCGGCUAACUACGUGCCAGCAGCCGCGGUAAUACGUAGGGUGCGAGCGUUAAUCGGAAUUACUGGGCGUAAAGCGUGCGCAGGCGGUUUUGUAAGUCAGAUGUGAAAUCCCCGAGCUCAACUUGGGAACUGCGUUUGAAACUACAAGACUAGAAUAUGUCAGAGGGGGGUAGAAUUCCACGUGUAGCAGUGAAAUGCGUAGAGAUGUGGAGGAAUACCAAUGGUGAAGGCAGCCCCCUGGGAUAAUAUUGACGCUCAUGCACGAAAGCGUGGGGAGCAAACAGGAUUAGAUACCCUGGUAGUCCACGCCCUAAACGAUGUCUACUAGUUGUUGGUGGAGUAAAAUCCAUGAGUAACGCAGCUAACGCGUGAAG
rnacentral:rRNA from 1 species